CCCAGCUGCCUCUCCUUCAUCAGGCUCAAUUACUGCUGUGAUAGACAAAAGGCAGGCCACAUCCCUGUGCUCCCUGAUGAGUCCAGGGAGGAUGCUGUGGUUAGCAUCCAACAGCUGGAUCACAAAGG
rnacentral:scRNA from 1 species